rnacentral:rRNA from 1 species
UACAGGGGGUGCAAACGUUGCUCGGAAUCAUUGGGCGUAAAGCGCACGUAGGCGGUUCGUUAUGUCGGAUGUGAAAGCCCUUGGCUUAACCGAGGAAGUGCAUCCGAAACUGGCGAGCUAGAGUACUAAAGAGGAUCGCGGAAUUCCCGGUGUAGAGGUGAAAUUCGUAGAUAUCGGGGAGGAACACCGGUGGCGAAGGCGGCGAUCUGGGUAGAUACUGACGCUGAGGUGCGAAAGCGUGGGGAGCAAACAGG